rnacentral:rRNA from 1 species
UACACCAUGCGAGUCAAANNUUNUGUAGCAAUACAAGGCGGACGGCUCAGUAACACGUANGUCCAAACCCCUAACUUCGUGGACGNUUUGGGAUAACCCCCNUCGGGGGNAACACUGGAGAAUAAACCACGAUAGGAUCAUUAUGCCUGGAAUGGCUUAUGGUUCAAACAGUUUACUGCCAUGGGAUGGGACUGCGGCCUAUCAGCUUGUUGNGUGAGGGUAAUGGCCCACCAAGGGGCUAUAACAGGUACGGGCUCUGAGAGGAGAAGCCCGGAGAUGGGUACUGAGACACGGACCCAGGCCCUAGGGGCGCAGCAGGCGAAACUU